rnacentral:rRNA from 1 species
UACGGGGGGGGGCAAGCGUUGUUCGGAAUUACUGGGCGUAAAGGGCGCGUAGGUGGCCAACUAAGUCAGACGUGAAAUCCCUCGGCUUAACCGGGGAACUGCGUCUGAUACUGGAUGGCUUGAGUUUGGGAGAGGGACGCGGAAUUCCCGGUGUAGAGGUGAAAUUCGUAGAUAUCGGGAGGAACACCAGUGGCGAAGGCGGCGAUCUGGGAAGAUACUGACGCUGAGGUGCGAAAGUGUGGGGAGCAAACAGG